rnacentral:rRNA from 1 species
AGUGAACGCUGGCGGUAGGCCUAACACAUGCAAGUCGAACGGCAGCACAGAGGAGCUUGCUCCUUGGGUGGCGAGCGGCGGACGGGUGAGGAAUACAUCGGAAUCUACUCUGUCGUGGGGGAUAACGUAGGGAAACUUACGCUAAUACCGCAUACGACCUACGGGUGAAAGCAGGGGACCUUCGGGCCUUGCGCGAUUGAAUGAGCCGAUGUCGGAUUAGCUAGUUGGCGGGGUAAAGGCCCACCAAGGCGACGAUCCGUAGCUGGUCUGAGAGGAUGAUCAGCCACACUGGAACUGAGACACGGUCCAGACUCCUACGGGAGGCAGCAGUGGGGAAUAUUGGACAAUGGGCGCAAGCCUGAUCCAGCCAUACCGCGUGGGUGAAGAAGGCCUUCGGGUUGUAAAGCCCCUUUGUUGGGAAAGAAAUCCAGCUGGCUAAUACCCGGUUGGGAUGACGGUACCCAAAGAAUAAGCACCGGCUAACUUCGUGCCAGCCGCCGCGGUAA